rnacentral:rRNA from 1 species
GGAGUUAGCCGGUGCUUCUUCUGCGAGUAACGUCACAGAUGUAAGGUAUUAACUUACACCCUUUCCUCCUCGCUGAAAGUGCUUUACAACCCGAAGGCCUUCUUCACACACGCGGCAUGGCUGCAUCAGGGUUUCCCCCAUUGUGCAAUAUUCCCCACUGCUGCCUCCCGUAGGAGUCUGGGCCGUGUCUCAGUCCCAGUGUGGCUGAUCAUCCUCUCAGACCAGCUAGGGAUCGUCGCCUAGGUGAGCCUUUACCUCACCUACUAGCUAAUCCCACCUGGGCUUAUCCAUCAGCGCAAGGCCCGAAGGUCCCCUGCUUUCCCCCGUAGGGCGUAUGCGGUAUUAGCAGUCGUUUCCAACUGUUAUCCCCCACAAAUGGGCAAAUUCCCAGGCAUUACUCACCCGUCCGCCGCUCGUCAUCUUCAAAAGCAAGCUUUUGAAAUGUUACCGCUCGACUUGCAUGUGUUAGGCCUGCCGCCAGCGUUCAAUCUGAACCAAGAUCAAAUUCUGA